GAUGAACGCUGGCGGCGUGCCUAAUACAUGCAAGUCGAGCGAACGGACGAGAAGCUUGCUUCUCUGAUGUUAGCGGCGGACGGGUGAGUAACACGUGGAUAACCUACCUAUAAGACUGGGAUAACUUCGGAAAACCGGAGCUAAUACCGGAUAAUAUUUUGAACCGCAUGGUUCAAAAGUGAAAGACGGUCUUGCUGUCACUUAUAGAUGGAUCCGCGCUGCAUUAGCUAGUUGGUAAGGUAACGGCUUACCAAGGCAACGAUGCAUAGCCGACCUGAGAGGGUGAUCGGCCACACUGGAACUGAGACACGGUCCAGACCCCUACGGGAGGCAGCAGUAGGGAAUCUUCCGCAAUGGGCGAAAGCCUGACGGAGCAACGCCGCGUGAGUGAUGAAGGUCUUCGGAUCGUAAAACUCUGUUAUUAGGGAAGAACAUAUGUGUAAGUAACUGUGCACAUCUUGACGGUACCUAAUCAGAAAGCCACGGCUAACUACGUG
rnacentral:rRNA from 1 species